UGUUGCUUGACUUCACAUCGCGAUGAAUAAUAGGUGGUGAGCAGUCGUGGUGCAUGUAGCAAAGACCACGGGCAGCUCCUAUCGCGAUUUGCAGCCUCCUAGGCCAUUCCAAGACCAGAUGUGGCGUUGAUCUCGAGGCAUUGUUCAUCCUAUUCUUUGAGUGAAGCCAUAUAUCCAAGCUCCUGUUCUCCAUGUAUUCGUAGACAAGAAGUUUCGACUCUUCACUGAAGAUGCAGCAGAGGAGUUUCACUAUGUUGGAGUGUCGAAUCGUGCCUAAUAUCUGAACUUCAG
rnacentral:misc_RNA from 1 species